UACGUAGGGUGCGAGCGUUAAUCGGAAUUACUGGGCGUAAAGCGUGCGUAGGCGGUUGGCAAAGUCAGCUGUGAAAGCCCCGGGCUUAACCUGGGAAUGGCGGUUGAAACUAGUCGACUCGAAUCUGGCAGAGGGGGGUGGAAUUCCACGUGUAGCAGUGAAAUGCGUAGAGAUGUGGAGGAACACCGAUGGCGAAGGCAGCCCCCUGGGCUAACACUGACGCUCAUGCACGAAAGCGUAGGGAGCAAACAGG
rnacentral:rRNA from 1 species